UACGUAGGCAGCAAGCGUUGUUCGGAAUUACUGGGCGUAAAGAGCGCGCAGGCGGUCGUUCAAGUCGCGUGUGAAAGCCCCCGGCUCAACUGGGGAGGGUCACGCGAUACUGAUCGACUCGAAGGCAGGAGAGGGAAGCGGAAUUCCCGGUGUAGUGGUGAAAUGCGUAGAUAUCGGGAGGAACACCAGUGGCGAAGGCGGCUUCCUGGCCUGUUCUUGACGCUGAGGCGCGAAAGCGUGGGGAGCAAACAGGG
rnacentral:rRNA from 1 species